GCUUUGAUAGCUAAAUAUAAAGCACUGGUCUUGUAAACCAGCGACUGAAGAUGUAACUUCUUCUUAAAGCA
rnacentral:tRNA from 1 species